rnacentral:rRNA from 1 species
GACGAACGCUGGCGGCGUGCCUAAUACAUGCAAGUAGAACGCUGAAGGAGGAGCUUGCUUCUCUGGAUGAGUUGCGAACGGGUGAGUAACGCGUAGGUAACCUGCCUGGUAGCGGGGGAUAACUAUUGGAAACGAUAGCUAAUACCGCAUAAUAGUAGAUGUUGCAUGACAUUUGCUUAAAAGGUGCAAUUGCAUCACUACCAGAUGGACCUGCGUUGUAUUAGCUAGUUGGUGAGGUAACGGCUCACCAAGGCGACGAUACAUAGCCGACCUGAGAGGGUGAUCGGCCACACUGGGACUGAGACACGGCCCAGACUCCUACGGGAGGCAGCAGUAGGGAAUCUUCGGCAAUGGACGGAAGUCUGACCGAGCAACGCCGCGUGAGUGAAGAAGGUUUUCGGAUCGUAAAGCUCUGUUGUAAGAGAAGAACGAGUGUGAGAGUGGAAAGUUCACACUGUGACGGUAGCUUACCAGAAAGGGACGGCUAACUACGUG